CGGAUAGGACCAUGGCCUUCAUGGGUUUGUGGUGGAAAGCUUUUGCGGUGUGGGAUGGGCCCGCGGCCUAUCAGCUUGUUGGUGGGGUAAUGGCCUACCAAGGCGACGACGGGUAGCCGGCCUGAGAGGGUGACCGGCCACACUGGGACUGAGAUACGGCCCCAGACUCCUACGGGAGGCAGCAGUGGGGAAUAUUGCACAAUGGGCGCAAGCCUGAUGCAGCGACGCCGCGUGGGGGAUGACGGCCUUCGGGUUGUAAACCUCUUUCAGCACAGACGAAGCGUGAGUGACGGUAUGUGCAGAAGAAGCACCGGCCAACUACGUGCCAGCAGCCGCGGUAAUACGUAGGGUGCGAGCGUUGUCCGGAAUUACUGGGCGUAAAGAGCUCGUAGGUGGUUUGUCGCGUUGUUCGUGAAAACUCACAGCUUAACUGUGGGCGUGCGGGCGAUACGGGCAGACUGGAGUACUGCAGGGGAGACUGGAAUUCCUGGUGUAGCGGUGGAAUGCGCAGAUAUCAGGAGGAACACCGGUGGCGAAGGCGGGUCUCUGGGCAGUAACUGACGCUGAGGAGCGAAAGCGUGGGGAGCGAACAGGAUUAGAUACCCUGGUAGUCCACGCCGUAAACGGUGGGU
rnacentral:rRNA from 1 species